GUGAAUCAUCAAAUCUUUGAACGCAAAUUGCACUCUCUGGUAUUCCGGAGAGUAUGCCUGUUUGAGGGUCAGUUUAAAUAAAAAUCGGUGUGGUUGCUGCCUUUCGUGGUGACGCACGGGAUUUGGUUCGUCUGGCCUUCGGUUAAGUGACCUAAAAUUUUGCAUGAUUUUCUUCGAACGAAUUUAAUUGAUUUUACGUACGUUUCCGAUAUCGAAUACAAGGUGUGUUAAUC
rnacentral:misc_RNA from 1 species